rnacentral:rRNA from 1 species
GACGAACGCUGGCGGCGUGCUUAACACAUGCAAGUCGAACGAGAACGGAUUAUAGCUUGCUAUAAUUGUCAGCUAAGUGGCGCACGGGUGAGUAAUGUAUAGGUAAUAUGCCUCUUACUAAGGGAUAACAAAUGGAAACGUUUGCUAAUACCUUAUACUCCUUAUUAACAUAAGUUAAUAAGGGAAAGAUUUAUUGGUAAGAGAUUAGCCUGUAUUGUAUCAGUUAGUUGGUGGGGUAAUGGCUUACCAAGACUAUGACACAUAACUGGUUUGAGAGGAUGAUCAGUCACACUGGAACUGAGACACGGUCCAGACUCCUACGGGAGGCAGCAGUGGGGAAUAUUGCACAAUGGACGAAAGUCUGAUGCAGCAACGCCGCGUGGAGGAUGACACAUUUCGGUGCGUAAACUCCUUUUAUAUGAGAAGAUAAUGACGGUAUUAUAUGAAUAAGCACCGGCUAACUCCGUGCCAGCCGCCGCCGUAA